rnacentral:lncRNA from 1 species
CUCACUGUGGAUAUAAACUAUAUAGAUAUGAUUUAAAUUUAUGUAGCUUGUCACAUAAUGCAAUUCUUUGCAUUCCUUCCUAACUAAUUAUAUAAUUUCCUUAAUUAAAUAAAUAUUAAUAAUAUAAUCCCCUCAAAAAGAACACAUGCAGGGAGGAAAAUUGCAGAAUGAAGAGCAGCUGCAGCUGCAGUGAAAGAAACAAAAGUAGCACAGAACAAAUUCUAAAUCUGAAAGAUUCUGAUUCAGAGAACACAUUAUUUGCACUUCUUCUCAAAUAGAAUGAUUACAAUUGAACUCAAAUGAAUUGCAAAAUUGAAAACAGUUUCUUAUGACAAGACACAACACAACUACUGUUAUCUGAAUCUCAUUCUUAAUGUUUUGGAGCAAUAAGGUAUUCUCCUAGGAAUAACAGAAAACCCCAUUUGUUGGUAGCUGAGAUUGAAGACAUCUGUAGCAGAAUUGUUGAAAAGAUUGGUGACAUCAUCAAGAGGCAACCUCUUAAGCUUCAGUGUACUGCGUUUCUUGUUCUUGAAAGAUAUGGACAUUAUGUGAGGAAUUGUGAUCUUACCCUUAUCCUUGUUGACAUUACUGUUACAAAACGGAGGAACAUUUUCCUUGUUUCCAUGGUUGGAAAUGUUGGUGGCAGUGUCAAAACUCUCCAUUUGUAACAAAUUAGAAAUACACAAAAAGGUUGUUGUUUAGGAGCAGAGACAAAGAAGAGCUGGGGUGAAUGGUGGUGGGUUGUGGGGUAUAUAUUCAUUGUUGAAUGAAACUAAGAAGAGGGAGAAAGUGAAAAUUUUGAGAAUUUUGGUUGAGGUAUGAAUGCUGCGAAAUGUGUAGAUGGCGCUUUUUGCAAUGUUGUGAAUUCAGGGUAGAGGGAAAAGAAAAAGGUCAGAGCGCCUAAAAGAAUCAGAAUUAUGAAUUAAGAAUAAAAUUUUAUCAUGGGCCAAAAGCC